AUAUUUGCCAUUAAACUUAAUCUUUUCACUUGAAUACAUAUUGUAGAAUUAACCAUUGUUAACGCAUUAUUCUACUUUUUGUACAGCCUAAGCCUAAGCCUGAAGAUGAUGAUGAUGAUGAUGAUGAUGAUGAUGAUGCUUUUGAUGAUGGAAAAGGAAAAGGACGUCCUACCACCCCGCCACCAACAGAAGAAAAGACCAAAGACAGACGCCAAUUGCUCCUGAGGAGUUUGAUGAAGGCCCUGAAGACCAAGCGUCUGUCGUAGAAGCCGGAUUGACAGCAAAUGACCACCCCGCCAUUCCCUGUUUCCUAAUGAUCUUAUCUCUAUAUAUAUCUUUUAUCUAAAUACUUCAGUAGUAUACCAACGUAUGUGCAGCUGAAAUGUUCUCCCAUGAACAGAGAAAGGAUAUCGACGUCUGAUGGAAUGACUGUUCCGUACAGGAAAUACCACAUUACUGUAGAUGUUAUGAACAGAUGACAACUGGAUGAUUCCUAGUAAUUGAAAUCAGUGUAUAAUUACACCCCUGUGCACUAGAUCUAUAUACCAUUAUUAUUGGCUAUGCACUAUUGUAACGUUGGAAACAAUUAAACUUUUUUUCUAAGCAGCAA